AUGCAAACCAUCAUUCUGGCAAACCAUCCGGAUGCGAUCUCCUGGAGAUGGACUGCCAACGGUGAAUUUUCCACGGCAUCGGCUUACGCCAUUCAGUUUGAGGGCUCGCAAAGAUCAAACUUCAAGGAAAUAAUCUGGAAAUCAGGCUCACCUCUGAAGUGUAGGAUAUAUUCUUGGAUGGCCGUCCUGGGGCGGGUGCUCACGGCAGACAACUUGGCGAAGAGGGGCUGGCCGCACAGCCCAUCCUGUCGGCUUUGCGGCAAUGCGCCGGAAGACGCGACGCAUUUGCUGGCUGCAUGCCCUUUUGCUAGAGACCUCUGGCUGCGCAUGGUGCAGCGCUGCAACCUAAACCUUGCCGUGGCGCCGCAGGCCGGGACGACGUCGCUGCUGGAAUGGUGGGAAGAGGGGAGAAGGAGGAUACCACCCGGGCACCGCCGAGCGUGGAGUGCUCUGGUGCAGCUCAUCUGGUGGAAUACAUGGAAAGAGCGAAAUGCCCGAAUCUUCAACAACGUCACAUCCUCUGUGACACAGGUUCAGCAAUGUAUCAUCGAGGAACUGGAGCUGUGGACAUUGGCGAAGAGAACAAAGAUUGCUCAGUUGAUGAACAGACCUAGGGAACCUGACUAG
rnacentral:rRNA from 1 species